GAGGUGGAGCUAAUCCCUUAAAGCUAGUCUCAGUUCGGAUUGUAGGCUGAAACUCGCCUACAUGAAGCUGGAGUUGCUAGUAAUCGCGAAUCAGAAUGUCGCGGUGAAUACGUUCCCGGGUCUUGUACACACCGCCCGUCACACCACGGGAGUCGGGGGCACCCGAAGUCAGCUAUCCAACCGCAAGGAGGAAGCUGCCGAAGGUGAAAUCGAUAACUGGGGUGAAGUCGUAACAAGGUAACC
rnacentral:rRNA from 1 species